rnacentral:misc_RNA from 1 species
GUCCAACUCUCCUGUCAAAGGUAUUACUUUAUAUUCUGAUUUUUCUUUUUUUCUGGUAUUGAUAGCUCUACCCUUUCUUGCACUUGUUUACUAGUCCCUAUUUGUUCCAUAAAGCUGAGGUGAAUCUUUUUGUUUUUGCCAAUGUCAAUUCUGCUGAUAUCUGCAAUAACAACCAUCCUGUCUUAUUUUUUGUUUACCCAUCCUGGAAGAUUUACUGAGGUAACAGGCAUUUAUGUGAUGAGAGAAUAUAUUAGAAGAUCACCAACCCUUGUUUAAAGCUAGCCCCCACCCUGACUUGGCCUAAUGCCCAAAAAGGAAAAAGAAAUUCAGGUUACACCUUUCAGGAAGGAAUUGCCUCCUGAAGCUUCUAAUUGCAGAAAAGUACAGUAUCCAGUUAAUUUCCUUGAAAAUUUUCCUUCUUCCUCUAUUGUGCUGUUGUCUGAACUCAUUUAUCUUUUAUGAUCAUACACUUCUAAAUGUGUAUGGCACAUGUACCAAGACCUUGGCUCAUGUAAUUUCAUAUCAACCUUCCAGUUUGUGUGAUUUGCUUUUCUUUGCUUUAACAGGUUUAUUAUCACCAUCUGCUGG